GAUGAACGCUGGCGGCGUGCCUAAUACAUGCAAGUCGAGCGAACAGAUGAGGAGCUUGCUCCUCUGACGUUAGCGUCGGACGGGUGAGUAACACGUGGAUAACCUACCUAUAAGACUGGGAUAACUUCGGGAAACCGGAGCUAAUACCGGAUAAUAUAUUGAACCGCAUGGUUCAAUAGUGAAAGACGGUUUUGCUGUCACUUAUAGUUGAACCCGAGCCGCAUUAGCUAGUUGGUAAGGUAACGGCUUACCAAGGCAACGAUGCGUAGCCGACCUGAGAGGGUGAUCGGCCACACUGGAACUGAGACACGGUCCAGACUCCUAAGGGAGGCAGCAGUAGGGAAUCUUCCGCAAUGGGCGAAAGCCUGACGGAGCAACGCAGCGUGAGUGAUGAAGGUCUUCGGAUCGUAAAACUCUGUUAUUAGGGAAGAACAAAUGUGUAAGUAACUAUGCACGUCUUGACGGUACCUAAUCAGAAAGCCACGGCUAACUACGUG
rnacentral:rRNA from 1 species